GUGGGUUGUACCAGAAGUCGUUAGCUUAUCCGCAAGGGGGGCGACGACCACGGUAUGGUUCAUGACUGGGGUGAAGUCGUAACAAGGUAGCCGUAGGUGAACCUGCAGAAGGAUCA
rnacentral:rRNA from 1 species